GAUGAACGCUGGCGGCGUGCCUAAUACAUGCAAGUCGAGCGAACAGACGAGGAGCUUGCUCCUCUGACGUUAGCGGCGGACGGGUGAGUAACACGUGGAUAACCUACCUAUAAGACUGGGAUAACUUCGGGAAACCGGAGCUAAUACCGGAUAAUAUAUUGAACCGCAUGGUUCAAUAGUGAAAGACGGUUUUGCUGUCACUUAUAGAUGGAUCCGCGCCGCAUUAGUUAGUUGGUAAGGUAACGGCUUACCAAGGCAACGAUGCGUAGCCGACCUGAGAGGGUGGUCGGCCACACGGGAACUGAGAAACAGUCCAGACUCCUACGGGAAGCAGCAGUAGGGAAUCUUCCGCAAUGGGCGAGAGCCUGACGGAGCAACGCCGCGUGAGUGAUGAAGGUCUUCGGAUCGUAAAACUCUGUUAUUAGGGAAGAACAAAUGUGUAAGUAACUAUGCACGUCUUGACGGUACCUAAUCAGAAAGCCACGGCUAACUACGUG
rnacentral:rRNA from 1 species